GACGAACGCUGGCGGCGUGCUUAACACAUGCAAGUCGAACGGAGUGGCGAACGGGUGAGUAACACGUGGGUGAUCUGCCUUGCACUCUGGGAUAAGCUUGGGAAACUGGGUCUAAUACCGGAUAGUUCACGAUGAGCUCGCGGCCUAUCAGCUUGUUGGUGGGGUAAUGGCCUACCAAUGCGUCGACGGGUAGCCGGCCUGGGAGGGUGUAUGGCCACAUUGGGACUGAGAUACGGCCGAGACUCCUACGGGAGGCAGCAGGGGGGAAUAUUGCACAAUGGGCGUAAGCCUGAUGCAGCGACGCCGCGUGGGGGAUGACGGCCUUCGGGUUGUAAACGCCUUUCGAAAGGGACGCGGUACCUGUAUAUGAAGCACCGGCUAACUACGUGCCAGCAGCCGCGGUAAUAC
rnacentral:rRNA from 1 species